UAGAUACAGAAGAUAGAAGGUAAGUCUAGAUCAGGGGUGGUGAACUUGUGACUCUCGAGCCACAAGCAGCUCUUCGACCCAGUCCAGUUGUACCACUUUUUCGACGGGCUGUUUUUGAUCCAAAAAGGAAUUUCAAGUGUCUUUAAUGAGUAAUCAAAGGCAACAGAAGCCUAUGCUAACAGGCCAGCGUUUCAAACCUCGAAAAAGAGAUAAACUUUGCACUUUAAGCC